AUGAACGAGACUGUCAUGAUGGAUGGAGAAGAUUUGGAUCCAAUUUUUACAAAAAAUUCACAGAGAGUAAAACUUGGUAUGAGAGCAGCGAGGACUGUGGGAAAAGUGGAGCUGAUCUGGUGAUCAUAAACAGCAAAGAGGAGCAGGAUUUUGUGGGACAACUGGACACAAAAGAAAAAUCCUGGAUUGGUCUGAAAGCUGAAUGGUUGACAAGUAAACGGAUAUUUGAAUGGAAAUGGGUGGACGGAUCACCACUGAAAACAACGUUCUGGGCUGCAGGAUCUUCUCAACAUGGGUAUAACCAUUAUGAAUAUGCUGCAGUGUGUUGUACUAAUGAAGGGAAAUGGACAUAUUUACUUCACACUUACAAGAGAAACUGGAUCUGUGAGAAGAAAAUACAAUAUUUCAUUGUUCAAUCCUGAUUAACUUCAGAUAACAUUUGGUUACUUUCAUUUAUUGUGUUUCGUGUGUCAUUUAUAAAUGUGGUUAUUCUGAACUUCAUCAUGUGUACAGGGUAGUGAAGCUGUCAUCAGAACUACAGGAGAACUUGAUAAUGCUGGAAUAAAAUAUAAUGAUUGUAAAUAAUUAUAAACAACACUUCUCUUCACUUUGUUUACUUGUGUUGUUUUAAUUUGAUGUGUGAGGAAUGAAAAGGUGUCAGUUAAAAUAAUUGACUUUAUUCUGCUACAUUUACAUAAACAUUUGUCCUCUUGCUUCAUUUUCCCAAAUACCAUCAGCAAUGAUAUGAACAAAAUCGAAAGUGUAUUUUAGGAACAGAGGAAAACACAUCAAUAAACAAGGAAACUUGACAACAGCUGUUGGAUUAAAUGUUUCUGCAGGACACAGAGUCUGAAGUUACAAUUUAGAUGUUUUUAACAUGAAAGUGUUUAAAUCAAAGAUAUACAAGAACAUGAGGAUGA